rnacentral:rRNA from 1 species
GACGAACGCUGGCGGCGUGCCUAAUACAUGCAAGUCGAACGAACCGCGACUAGGUGCUUGCACUUGGUCAAGGUGAGUGGCGAACGGGUGAGUAACACGUGGGUAACCUACCUCAUAGUGGGGGAUAACAGUCGGAAACGACUGCUAAUACCGCAUAGGACAUAGGAUCACAUGAUCCAGUGAGGAAAGGUGGCGCAAGCUAUCGCUAAGAGAUGGACCCGCGGUGCAUUAGCUAGUUGGUAGGGUAAAGGCCUACCAAGGCGAUGAUGCAUAGCCGACCUGAGAGGGUGAUCGGCCACAUUGGGACUGAGACACGGCCCAAACUCCUACGGGAGGCAGCAGUAGGGAAUCUUCCGCAAUGGACGCAAGUCUGACGGAGCAACGCCGCGUGAGUGAAGAAGGUCUUCGGAUCGUAAAGCUCUGUUGUUAGAGAAGAACAGCGCAUAGAGUAACUGUUAUGCGUGUGACGGUAGCUAACCAGAAAGCCACGGCUAACUACGUG